rnacentral:rRNA from 1 species
ACGAACGCUGGCGGCGUGCUUAACACCUGCCAGUCGCACGGAAAGGCCCUGCUUUUGUGGGGUGCUCGAGUGGCGAACGGGUGAGUAACACGUGAGUAACCUGCCCUUGACUUUGGGAUAACUUCAGGAAACUGGGGCUAAUACCGGAUAGGAGCUCCUGCUGCAUGGUGGGGGUUGGAAAGUUUCGGCGGUUGGGGAUUGACUCGCGGCUUAUCAGCUUGUUGGUGGGGUAGUGGCUUACCAAGGCUUUGACGGGUUGCCGGCCUGAGAGGGUUACCGGCCACAUUGGGACUGAGAUACGGACCAGACUCCUACGGGAGACAGCAGUGGGGAAUAUUGCACAAUGGGCGGAAGCCUGAUGCAGCAACGCCGCGUGCGGGAUGACGGCCUUCGGGUUGUAAACCGCUUUCGCCUGUGACGAAGCGUGAGUGACGGUAAUGGGUAAAGAAGCACCGGCUAACUACGUG